UACAGCCAGAUCAUGUUGAAAUACUGGUUCCUGUAUGGUCACCGAAGUUAAGCAACGUCGACCCUGGUCAGUACCUAGAUGGGUGACUGCUUGGGAAUAUGAGGUGCUGUAUG